UACGAAGGUCCCAAGCGUUAUCCGGAUUUAUUGGGUUUAAAGGGUGCGUAGGCGGAUUAUUAAGUCAGUGGUGAAAGCCUUCAGCUUAACUGAAGAACUGCCAUUGAUACUGAUGAUCUUGAGUAUGAUUGAGGCGGGCGGAAUGUGUCAUGUAGCGGUGAAAUGCAUAGAGAUGACAUAGAACACCAAUUGCGAAGGCAGCUGGCUACACGGUAAUUGACACUGAGGCACGAAAGCGUGGGGAGCAAACAGG
rnacentral:rRNA from 1 species